UACGUAGGGUGCGAGCGUUGUCCGGAAUUAUUGGGCGUAAAGGGCUCGUAGGCGGUUUGUCGCGUCGGGAGUGAAAUCCUACGGCUUAACUGUGGGCUUGCUUUCGAUACGGGCGGACUAGAGGUAUGCAGGGGAGAACGGAAUUCCUGGUGUAGCGGUGGAAUGCGCAGAUAUCAGGAGGAACACCGGUGGCGAAGGCGGUUCUCUGGGCAUUACCUGACGCUGAGGAGCGAAAGCAUGGGGAGCGAACAGG
rnacentral:rRNA from 1 species